AAUCAUAUCAUGCAAUAUGCGAUCUUAAAGUAAUAUAGAAUACGUGCGUUGUUUGCAUGUUUUUGUUUUCGGGUUUAUCAACAUCACCUCAACGCCGAACUUUUUGUGCGCAAGUCCGGCGCAGGAAACGGCGCAGGGAAACAAGUUAACGCGCAACGCACGCUCAGCAUCAUCAUUCAGUGCGCGACAUUGUCUGCAGUUACACCUGCGCUAAUAAAAUUGCCAAUAAUUUAUUAAAUCAGUAAAAAAGUGUUGCUACCAAGUGAAAAACAUUCCUCGAGGCACUCACAAAUGACCUUUCAAGGUCACCCACCUGACGUCCCGGAUUAGUCUUACUUUCCCAAGAUUGGAAAAAGGUUUGAACAUUGCUGUAAAUCGCUGUACAUAUUCGAUAUAUUGGGGCAUUUUUGUAAUUCGGGCGCGUUCGUUUUCGGUUUAUGUACUUUUUGUGUCUACUUAUAUUUCACACCUUCAUGUUGUAUAAGUGAUAAACGAUAUUCGCGAGAGACCUGGAGAGGUGUAACGAAAUACUCAUCGAGUGCGGGUCGCGACGCGUUUUGAUUUAACCAUUUUAUUGCAUCGUGAUCAAUUAGCUAUCGAAGGAGGGUCGUGCCUUGUCCCCUUUCACCUGUUAGGGAAAGUACGCAGUGUUUACAAAAAAUGUAUCCGAAUAUUCGACAAAUCGAGUGCGGGACGCGAUUAAAAAUCCGAAAGUAUCGCGUAAUCCGUAUUGCACUAUUAAAGUGCGCGUUAAAAAUAAUUCCAAUUCCAUGAGGGUUUGUACGGGGCCUCAACGGACUGCAAGCAUCCUACCAGCGGUUUGGACUCAAGAUUGUAUUUUAAUAUCAACGCCAUAAGUAGUGAGUACACCUGACUGUCUUGUAUUUUUAUGCGCCAACAUAUGCACGUGUAAUCGUCGGUAUAGCGUCGUAUUUUACCCCAUUAAAUUGAAUUAUUUUAAUCUUAUAGAGAAUAGUCCGUAGAAUAGUUUCUGCGAUUUGUACCUAUUUAUC